AUGACCACUUGUUAUGAGUUGCGUACUAGAAUGCAAAAGAUGAAACUAUUGCUAAAGGUGCUCAGCGACAACUUAAAAAGUGAAAGGGACCACUGAAGAAAAGUUCCGUUGAGAAUCGUUUGCAUUUGUAAAUUUAUUACCAAGCAUAAUCUAGCUUUCCGUGGUACUAAUAACAAAUUGCAUGAAGAUAGCAAUGAAAAAUUCUUGGGUUUGGUUGAGAUAUUAGCUCAAUUUGACCCGGUUAUUCAAGAGCAUGUCCAUCGUAUUACAAAGGAUGAAACUCAUGCUCAUUAUCUUGAUUCUAAGAUUGAGAAUGAGUUGAUACACUUGAUUGUUUCUGCUAUUCAGUCUAAUAUUGUUAAGAUAAUAAAGAGUGCAAAGUAUUUCUUUGUCAUACUUGAUUGUACCCCUGAAGCAAGCCAUCAAGAAUAGAUGUCUAUAAUCAUAAGAUAUGUUGAUUCAUCUUCAAAUCAUGUCUGCAUAUAAGAAUGUUGGGUAGGAUUUUUAGAUGUAGAUGAUACGACUGAAGGGACUUUUGAAGUGCUAGAAAAUGAACUAAAGCUUCUUGAUAUUGAUAUAGAUGAUGUGAGAGGAUAAGGUUAUGAUAAGGGGUCAAAUAUGAAAGAAGCCCAUCGAGGAGUCCAAAGGAGAUUGAAUGUAAAUCCUAGAGCAUUCUAUUCUUCUUGUGGUUGUCAUAGCCUUAAUUUGACACUCUGUGAUAUGGGCAAGACCUGUAGUAAAGCUAAAGACUUAUUUGGAAUUAUCCAAUGCAUAUAUAGAACUUUUGCCAAUUCUACUAAGAAAAUGCAUCUUCUGAAAAAUAACAUAACAUGAUUAACUCCCAAGUCAGUGCCAACUACACAUUGGGAGAGUCAUGUUGACAGUGUUAAAGCUAUUUAACUUCAAUGUAUAGACAUUCGGGAGGCCCUACUUCAGGUAUCGGAGACUGAUAAUGAUAUAAAAACGAGGUGUGAGGCUAAUGGUUUGAUAGAUAAUGAACUUGGAGAGUAUGAAUUUAUAGUGGCAAUAUUCAUUUAUUAUGAGGUAUUGCAUGUGUUAAUUUAGUAAAUAAAAACUUGGAAGCAAAGUUUAUGUGAUGUUGCUAUUGAGAAAGUGCAAGGACCGGUUUCUUUCUUCAAGGGGUAUGGGGAAACUGCUUUUGUAGAAGCAUUGGAGAAAGCCAAAGGAAUUGCACUCGAGAUGGAUAUUCAUACAACAUUUCAUAAAAGAUGA
rnacentral:rRNA from 1 species